UACGUAGGGGGCAAGCGUUGUCCGGAAUCAUUGGGCGUAAAGCGCGUGUAGGCGGCUUCGUAAGUCCGUUGUGAAAGUCCAGGGCUCAACCCUGGAAUGCCGAUGGAUACUGCGGAGCUAGAGUCCGGAAGAGGCGAGUGGAAUUCCUGGUGUAGCGGUGAAAUGCGCAGAUAUCAGGAGGAACACCAAUGGCGAAGGCAGCUCACUGGGACGGUACUGACGCUGAGGCGCGAAAGCGUGGGGAGCAAACAGG
rnacentral:rRNA from 1 species